GAUCAUUAACGCGCAGGCCGGAGGCUGGCCCCCCACGAUAGGGCCAAACGUCCGUCAGGGGUGAGCAGAUGUGCGCCGGCCGUACCGCCCCAUUCUUGUCUACCUUACUCGGUUGCCUCGGCGGGCCGCGCUCUCCCAGGAGAGCCGUUCGGCGAGCCUCUCUUUAGUGGCUAAACGCUGGACCGCGCCCGCCGGAGGACAGACGCAAAAAAAUUCUUUCAGAAGAGCUGUCAGUCUGAGCGUUAGCAAGCAAAAAUCAGUUAAAACUUUCAACAACGGAUCUCUUGGUUCCGGCAUCGAUGAAGAACGCAGCGAAAUGCGAUAAGUAAUGUGAAUUGCAGAAUUCCGUGAAUCAUCGAAUCUUUGAACGCACAUUGCGCCCCCUGGCAUUCCGGGGGGCAUGCCUGUUCGAGCGUCAUUUCAGCCCCUCAAGCCCGGCUUGUGUGAUGGACGACCGUCCGGCGCCCCCGUCUUUGGGGGUGCGGGACGCGCCCGAAAAGCAGUGGCCAGGCCGCGAUUCCGGCUUCCUAGGCGAAUGGGCAACAAACCAGCGCCUCCAGGACCGGCCGCCCUGGCCUCAAAAUCUGUUUUAUACUUAUCAGGUUGACCUCGGAUCAGGUAGG
rnacentral:misc_RNA from 1 species